rnacentral:rRNA from 1 species
UACGUAGGGACCAAGCGUUGUUCGGAUUUACUGGGCGUAAAGGGCGCGUAGGCGGCUUUUCAAGUGACGGGUGAAAUCCCUCGGCUUAACCGAGGAACUGCCUGUCAGACUGGAAGGCUUGAGACCGGGAGAGGUGAGUGGAAUUCCCAGUGUAGCGGUGAAAUGCGUAGAUAUUGGGAGGAACACCAGUGGCGAAGGCGGCUCACUGGACCGGAACUGACGCUGAGGCGCGAAAGCGUGGGGAGCAACAGG